CUCCUGCUUUCACUGCCCCUCGCUUCCUCCCUCCCAGCCAGGGUGUAUCUCUCCCUCUCCCUGGAAACACCUAAUGGGCUCUAUGCAGCCGUGCCCUGGAGCUGGCUUAUACUGGCUUGCAAUGGCCAAUGGAAAAAGCAAGCAAAAAUGGAGCCUGCCCCUUCAUACCCCCAGUAAACUGUCUUGUGCAUGAACCUCCUCAAUGCCACAGUGACUGGCAGUGUCCAAAGAAGCAGAAAUGCUGUCCUGGCCUUUGUGGCAUCAAAUGCUUGGACCCUGAAGACCCAUCAAAGCCAGUUCAAGUCAAUCCUGGGAAGUGUCCAGUGGUCACUGGCCAGUGUAUGAUGCUCAACCCCCCAGACAAAUGCCGGAAUGACAGCCACUGCCCGAAGAGUCUCAAGUGCUGCAAGGGGAUGUGUGGGAAUUUAUGUGUCAAGCCAGUGUGAGAAUAAAUCUAGCUUAGGACUUCCUGGUGUGCAUGGAAUUACUUCCUGGGAUUCCUUUUUCCUCACAC